CAGAGAUCAAACCUGCAUCCUCAUGGAUACUAGUCGGAUUGUUACCACUGAGUCACAAUGGGAACUCCCUUUAUCGUCUUCCUCGUGUACUGACAUUAUAGGAAUUACCCAGUGCAAAUAGUUACUCUUUGUUCAUGGUGAUGGUCUCAGAGCUGCCUCUGCAGGUGACUUUGAGCAGUAAGUAAUAAUAUUUUUUAGAGUGUAAAUAGUAAAGUAUUCUUGUAAGAAUUGAUAUUAUGUAUUGUAUCAAAGAGAUUGGACUGUGGUUCAGGAGAUUUGGUUCUCAAUGUGACUCUUGACAAGUAAAUUGCACAUUUAUUUAAAUUAUCUAUUUUUUAUUUUUUAUUACUCAAUGAAUUUAUUACAUUUAUAGUUGUAAAAUUAUCUAUUUUUCUAUCUAUAUCUGUUCUUAUCUGUAUGUUCAAUAAAAAUGUGAUUAUACCUCUCUGACUACUUCAUUGUUUUAAGGAUCAGUAAAAAACAAUGAGAAGAUGUAAAAAUGUUUUGUCAAAUCAUAUAGCACUCAACAAGCACUUUAAAAUUUUGCUUGUCUACAAGUACAUAAUGGUGUGAUGAUUUGUCAAGGCCUGAUGAAGCAUCCCUGAACUAGAUUUGUCUUCUUAGACCAUAAUUUCUUUUAGAACCAUCUUUGGAACUACAAAUUAUGAGAUAAGGUUUAGAAACUACAGUGUGUGUGUGUGUGUGUGCGUGCGUGCGUGUGUGUGCGCGCGUGUGUGUAAGUAAACACAGGUGCCAUAAUGCAGUUACAUUGUAGGUAGAAUUCAGAUGAUUUUUUUUUUAAACAUAGGGAAACUGUUCGUAAAAAGUUUUAAUUGACCAUAUCUGAAUCAAUGCUGUUUUUUUUUUUUUUACCAUGAUGCCUGAAUUUGCUGAGCUGCUAUAACAAAUCAUAUUGCCUACCCUGUUUGUAAACCUUUUUUCAAUUUUAUGCUUACAAAAGAGUUUUAUUUUGUAGUCACUGUAUUUGAGAAUGCUCACAAAAAAGAGCAUUAAAAAGCUUUCUUUAAAUAGGAAUAUUAGUCUUUUAUUUUUGUUUUGUUUUUAAUAGCUUUAUUGAGAUAUGAUUGGCAUACAAUAAACUAUACAUAUUUAUAUAAUUUUGGUUAAGUUUUGACAGGUAUGCAUACAUUUGUGAAACCAUCACUACAAUCAUGAUGGUGAACAUCCCCUCAUUCCCAAAUUUAUUUAUGCUGCUUCAUGAUCCUUCUCCUUUCACUCUUCCCCAUACAUUACUUUUCAUUUUCUAGAAUGUUAAAUAAAUGGAUUAAAUAGUACAUAUUCUUUUUUGCCUGGCUUUCAUUACCAUAAGUAUUUUGAGUUUCUUCUCUGAAUUGUUUAUCAGUAGCUCAUUCUCGUUUAUUACUGGAUGGUAUUUCAUUGGAUGGAUAUACCACAUUUUGUCAAUCCAUUCAUCUGUUCAUAAAUAUUUUGGUGUUUUCUGGCUUUGAACUAUUACAAAUACUGCUGCUAUGAACACUGUAUACAUGUUUCAUUUCUCUUGGGUAAGUACCUAGGAGUGGAAUGGCUGAAUUUUAUGGUAGGUGUGUGUUUAAUUUAUUAAAAAACUGGGAGUUCCCAUCGUGGCACAGAGGAAACGAAUCCGACUAGGAACCAUGAGGUUGUGGGUUCGAUCACUGGCUUCGCUCAUGGGUUAAGGAUCCGACGUUGCCAUGAGCUGUGGUGUAGGUCGCAGACCCGGCUUGGAUCUGGUGUUGCUGUGGCUCUGGUGUAGGCCGGCAGCUACAGCUCCGGUUAGACCCCUCACUGGGAACCUCCAUGUGCCGCUGGAGCGGCUCCAGAAAAGACAAAAAAUAAAAAUAAAAAA
rnacentral:lncRNA from 1 species